rnacentral:rRNA from 1 species
UACGAAGGGGGCUAGCGUUGCUCGGAUUGACUGGGCGUAAAGGGCGCGUAGGCGGUUUGUACAGUCAGACGUGAAAUUCCUGGGCUCAACCUGGGGGCUGCGUUUGAUACGUGCAGACUUGAGUUCGGAAGAGGGUCGUGGAAUUCCCAGUGUAGAGGUGAAAUUCGUAGAUAUUGGGAAGAACACCGAUGGCGAAGGCAGCCAUCUGGACCGACACUGACGCUGAGGCGCGAAAGCGUGGGGAGCAAACAGG